rnacentral:rRNA from 1 species
UAUGGAGGGACGGCAUCCAGAAAGAGAGCGGUACGAAUAGAAAUGUCCGUGCAGCAGACUGAGAUGACGGGAUAGGUAAAUCCGCCCGCAUAAUUCAAGGUCUGAGGCCGAGAGCGCUUAAGUUCGCGAAGUCUUUGGAAGGAUGUCCAAGAAAAUCUUCUAGGUGUGUAUGUGACCGUACUAAAACUGACACAGGUAGGCGAGACGAGUAGUCUAAGGCGCUCGGGAGAACGGUGGUUAAGGAACUCUGCAAAAUGACCCCGUAAGUUCGCGAUAAGGGGUGCCGUUGGAGGUUCACGCUUCCGGCGGCCACAGUAAAUCGGCUCCAACGACUGUUUAUCAAAAACACAGGUCUCUGCUAACUCGCAAGAGGAUGUAUAGAGACUGACGCCUGCCCGGUGCCGGUAGGUUAAGGAAGGCGGUUAGCUCUUCGGAGUGAAGCUGGCAACCGAAGCCCCGGUAAACGGCGGCCGUAACUAUGACGGUCCUAAGGUAGCGAAGUUCCUUGUCGGGUAAGUUCCGACCUGCAUGAAUGGCGUAACGAUUGGAGCACUGUCUCAACCACCGACCCGGUGAAAUUGUAGUCGUGGUGAAGAUGCCACGUACCCGCGGUUAGACGGAAAGACCCCGUGAACCUUUACUGCAGGCUGAUAUUGGGCUGAGGUCUAUUAUGUGUAGGAUAGGUGGGAGGCUAUGAACCGGCGACGCCAGUCGUUGGGGAGCCAUCCUUGAAAUACCACCCUUGAUAUACUUUAGUUCUAACGUUGAUCCCGUGAAUCCGGGCAACGGACAGUGUCAGUUGGGCAGUUUGACUGGGGCGGUCUCCUCCCAAAAUGUAACGGAGGAGUGCAAAGGUACACUCAGCCUGAUUGGUAACCAGGCAAAGAGCGCAAUGGUAGAAGUGUGCUUAACUGCGAGACUUAUCAGUCGAGCAGAUGCGAAAGCAGGUCAUAGUGAUCCGGUAAUUCCGAAUGGAAGGGUUAUCGCUCAUCAGAUAAAAGGUACUCCGGGGAUAACAGGCUUAUCGCUCCCGAGCGUCCAUAGCGGCGGAGCGGUUUGGCACCUCGAUUUCGGCUCAUCACAUCCUGGGGGUGAAGAAGCUCCCAAGGGUUCGGCUGUUCGCCGAUGAAAGUGGUACGUGAGCUGGGUUCAGACCGUCGUGAGACAGGUCGGUCCCUAUCUGCCGUGGGCGUUCGAAGCUUGAGGGGAUUCUUCUUUAGUACGAGAGGAUUUGGAAGGACGAACCUCUGGUGUUCCAGUUGUCGCGCUAGCGGCAUGGCUGGAUAGCUAUGUUCGGAAAGGAUAAACGCUGAAAGCAUCUAAGCGUGAAGCCCCCCCCGAGAUUAGGUUUCGUACGUGCUUGACACGAGAGCCCCCUUGAAGACGACGAGGUUGAUAGGCUGGAUGUGUAAGCUCAGCAAUGGGUUUAGCUAACCAGUACUAACGGGCGAACGCUUGACCAC